AGUUUCAUAGUGUAGUGGUUAUCAUGUCUGCUUUAUACGCAGAAGGUCCUGGGUUUAAUCCCCAGUGAAACCA
rnacentral:tRNA from 2 species